rnacentral:rRNA from 1 species
UAGGGAAUCUUACACAAUGGACGCAAGUCUGAUGGAGCAACGCCGCGUGAGUGAAGAAGGUUUUCGGAUCGUAAAGCUCUGUUGUUGGUGAAGAAGGAUAGAGGCAGUAACUGGUCUUUAUUUGACGGUAAUCAACCAGAAAGUCACGGCUAACUACGUGCCAGCAGCCGCGGUAAUACGUAGGUGGCAAGCGUUGUCCGGAUUUAUUGGGCGUAAAGCGAGCGCAGGCGGAAUGAUAAGUCUGAUGUGAAAGCCCACGGCUCAACCGUUGAACUGCAUCGGGAACUGUCAUUCUUGAGUGCAGAAGAGGAGGGUGUAAUUCCAUGUGUAGCGGUGGAAUGCGUAGAUAUAUGGAAGAUCACCAGUGGCGAAGGCGGCUCUCUGGUCUGAAACUGACGCUGAGGCGCGAAAGCAUGGGUAGCGAACAGG